rnacentral:miRNA from 1 species
GACGUUGAUAUUCAACGUCAUAAACAUUCAACUUAGAUGUUUAUGACGUUGAUAUUCAACGUCAUAAACAUUCAACUUAGAUGUUUAUGACGUUGAUAUUCAACGUCAUAAACAUUCAACUUAGCUGUUUAUGACGUUUAUAUUCAACGUCAUAAAUAUUCAACUUAGAUGUUUAUGACGUUGAUAUUCAACGUC